rnacentral:rRNA from 9 species
UUAGAACGUCGUGAGACAGUUCCCUCCCUAUCUACUGUAAGCGUUAAAAAUUGAGAAGAUUAGAUUCUAGUACGAGAGGACCGAAAAACGUGAAUCACUUGUGUACCAAUUGUUUUAUUAAAAGCAACGUUGGGUGGCUACAUUCAUAAGGGAUAAUCGCUGAAAGCAUCUAAGCGAGAAACCGAUACUCUUCAAGAUUAGUUUUUAAAAAUUUGUAAAAUAAGAUUACUUUAAUAGGCUUUAAGUGGAAUUACUUCGUGAGAAUAAUAUUAGCUUAAAAGUACUAAAAA